AUUGAACGCUGGCGGCAUGCCUUACACAUGCAAGUCGAACGGUAACAGGUCUUCCGACGCUGACGAGUGUCGAACGGGGGCGGAAUGCAUCGGAACGUGCCCAGUCCCUGUGGGUCACUGCUCGAAUGAGGAGCCCAUACCGCAUACCACCUGAGAUGUAAAGCGGGGGAGCGCAAGACUGCGCGCGGGUGUAGCGGCCCAUUUCAGAUUAGCUAGUUGGUGGGGUAAAGGCCUACCAAGGCAACGAUCGGUAGGGGGACUGAGAGGACGAGCCGCCACACUGGAACUGAGACACGGUCCAGACUCCUACGGGAGGCAGCAGUAGGGAAUCUUCCGCAAUGGGCGAAAGCCUGACGCAGCAACGCCGCGUGAGGGAAGAAGGCCUUCGGGUUGUAAACCGCUGUUGUUAGGGAAGAACACUUCUGUGAGUAUCCCCCGGGGUGUUGACGGUACCUGAAGAAAAAGCCCCGGCUAACUACGUG
rnacentral:rRNA from 1 species